rnacentral:rRNA from 1 species
UACGUAGGUGGCAAGCGUUGUCCGGAUUUAUUGGGUUUAAAGGGUGCGUAGGUGGUCUAUUAAGUCAGUGCUGAAAUAUCCCGGCUUAACCGGGAGGGUGGCAUUGAUACUGAUGGACUUGAGUAAAGUUGAGGUAGGCGGAAUUGACGGUGUAGCGGUGAAAUGCUUAGAUAUCGUCAAGAACACCUAUUGCGAAGGCAGCUUACUAAGCUUUAACUGACACUGAUGCACGAAAGUGUGGGGAUCAAAC